GGGUUACCUUCCUACGGUGGUAGCCGCAGGUGGCAUGCGGCGGCCACGGACACGGAAAGGGGCGCUCGGGGAGGAGCGGCGGCGCUCCUCUUUCUGGAUUCAAUAGAUGGAUGGCACGACAGCAGGAGGGUUUCCCCUUUCCUUGGGAGCCACCGCAAGGACCAGGGAGCCGGGAGGCGUCGCGGCGGAGUGCGCGGGCCGUUUCCCCUUUCUCAUGUCUGAUCGUCGGCCGUCUCAGGGAGGGGUACUCCGCCGGGAGAUGAAGACACACGGGGUGAAGAGAUAGCCUGCUGCUUUAGAAAGGAAGAAGAAAACCUGCCUGAGAUCUGAACAGCACCCACGUGAAGAACUUCUCUUUUUUUUUUAUUGUUGCUUCCCUGUGAUGCUUGAAUCCCACGGGAUGACUACAGUGGAGAACUUGGCCGUACUGCUUCGAAGAAAAAAAAAAAAAAAAGAGGGGGAAUUUGGGACCCUUUCUCGGCUGAGGUAGUCCGCGCCCCAAAUCGAUGCCCAAAACGCGGAAGUCUGAGCAAAGCGUAGGGCCGCAAGAUCGAAGAUGUAGAACAAUUUGGUAUCAGAGCAAAGUCGUCAAAGCUCCGUUACCAAAGUUUCUCGAUCUUGCGGCCCUACGGUUCGCACUGUUACGCCAGUCAUUGGAUCUUCA
rnacentral:lncRNA from 1 species